UCUGCCACAUCUCAAUACGUCAAACAGUUUCGUCGUCCCGCACAACGUCGCCCGCUUCGUCCGACCUUGUCUGCCCCGCACGCGCCAAGCUGGGCCAGGCGCCCAGGCCCAUCACAAAUUCACAAUGCAUCCCCUAUCUCUUCUCUCCCCUGGCGAAGUGGCCAUCCCUCCCUAUCCAACCCUAGCCGCCAUGCCUUCUCACCCCCACACGAUCUCCUUCCUCCACCCGUGGGCGUCCUCCACGCGUGGCCAGGCAAGCCCCAGCUUGAUCGCGUCGGCCCGGGGGUCGCCGGCGUGUUCCUCGCUCGCCCGUGUGAUCUCACCAUCACCAUCCUUGCACGGCCGCCCUAGCUCCCCAUUUUCUUCCAAGCGCGGCCAGGGAAGGGCACACACAGCACGUCCUCCACAUCUCUAGCCACCGCCUCACCUCUUUGAGUCAGUCAAGAGUCAGGACAUGGGCAUCCCUUUCCCAUGGCUGCCGUCGAGGGCGGCCAGCCGCUGACUUGUAGAGCGCUUUUCACCGCUGCGAGAUCUUUGAUUCCUCUACCUCCACUAGCCUCCUCUCUCAUUAGAUGGAAAUUUUCUUGGAUGAAGAAUUGCAGAUGCUUCAGAACAUAAUGGGGAUCCUCGCGCUGCUCCGGGCCCCACGCCGCUAUCUGGAGAUUCAGGGCUGCCUGCAUCGUCCGCGCCAUCGGAUACCACUGGAGGGGGAAGAGUUCGUCGUGAUGGCGCCUAGACCUCCCAGCGCCGCCCCUCCUUAUAGAACUGAUUGUCACGGGUUGACGACAUGAGGUGUCGUGCUUGCUCAAGUUUCAGGUUGUGAACAGUGGAGCCUAUCGCUGCAUUGUUUUGUCUGUACACUAAGCCUACUUGAAGGCGUUCGCUGUAGCCAGCAAACCCUGUGCUCUCCUGCUCUAGCCCGUGCACCAGAUGAUCUGGAUUUGGUAAGCUCUCUCAGCUCUGCACAAGAAGGUCUUCUCUGCACCUUUAUUUUUGAGGUGUUGCUGAUAUGUUCCUCGCAUAUGUUUCACUUGCAUGUAUCAUUUUGUUUCUGGUUUCCAGACCUAUAGAACCUAUCGUGAAGCUAAAUAAGCAUUUGCACCUUUUCAGUAAGUAUGCAAUAUUUAUGCCAUGGUUCUAUAUUAAAACCUAAAAAGUACCAUUGUACAUAAGGUAGUUUUUUUAAUAUGUGGGUGCAUUUACAUAAUUAUGCAUUUGUUUAUAAUCCCAUCUCAUACCAUGGAAUCCAUUUCUUGCUAUAUCAGGGGACUGUUCUUUGGAAUGUCGAAACCAGGAUUGUUUUCGGUGUGUUAUUCAGCUCACCAAGUGCAAAGUUCUGGCAUCAUCAACAUCACAAUGGACAAGUAAAAUCCAGUUUGUUAACUGAGGUAUAUGUAAUCCCAUCAUUACCUUAUUUUGGUGCAUGAUCAUCAUAAUUUUCUACUAUGGUUCUAUACUUCAGAUUGUGUUUAUUGUACAUAAGAAUGUUUCUUUAGAGCCAUCAUGAAAACAGGUUUAGACCCCUAUUUCAAGGUACAGGGUCUAGAACAUGGCUUGGGACUCAUGACUUCCUAUUUUGUUCUAGCAUGAGCAAAUUGUAGGCUAGGAUGCACGUGAUGGUUUCUACCAUGGACAUGGACAUCGGGGUAAUUCUCCAUGUCAUGUGGUGGGGGUCAUUCUUCCAUAGAGAUGCCAAGAUUUUACUACUCCCAUCUAUUCAAACUGCUGGUUCUUAUGUUACCAAGAUGGUUUUGUUAUUUAUAAAUUGCCUGAUUAUUGUGUUUUGUUUUCCAACCAAGAAUUAUAUUUAUUCUCUGUUUUCUAAGCAAGAAGAAUAUUUUGUGCAUUUUCUCCAUUUUAAAACUAAGUUAUCCUGCCUCACAGUUUUUUCUAUUUUGUAAACUUUAUUCUCCUUAACCAAAUGGAAGUAGACAUGGGUAAGUUUACGAUUUACCAAUUUUAGAUUUUUUUGAUGUUGGCUUGCCUAAAAUUUAUGCUGAGUUGUAAAUUCAAUUCCCUCACUUUGCAUGCCUAUGUUGAUGUUUAUCGGCCUGCUGCACGAGUAAGCUUUUAUUCAUUCAUCCAAAUGGGAUGUGCAUCACUUUGAUGCAGAGGCUGGGGUAUGCCCCCAUUUAAAAAAAAUGGGUUGUGCAUGUUUCUAACUAGGCAUUUAUGGCUUUAUAAGUGCUGGCCUAACUGGAUCCCUUUGGUCAGUCCUUGCUCCGGCUCUCCGCUUCAGGCACAUAUGUGUGCAGCUCUGCUGGUGAGCUGUUGGGUCCCGUAUGGCUGCAGCACUAUACUGUGCUGCGGAUGCUGUAGCGCAUGAACUCUACUAUUUCUCUGUAUAUUUGUAGGUAGAGCUGAUAUAAACGCCGACUAAGUUUUCCAACAGAAGUAAGUAAUCCCUCCUUAAGGCAUCCUUUACUUUUUCCCCUGCAUUUUGGGAAGUGGAUAUCCUUACUCUAGGCGCAGGCAGUGAGUUUACUUGGGAAGUGUAAAUCCUAUUGGUUCCAAACUGAUGAAAAUUUGGAAACUUGCUGUUUAAAUCAUUUCGUUUGGACAUGCAGUCUUCAGAAGAUUAAAAAUUCAGCUGUCAGUGGACUUUGAACUUUAUUUGUGUCCUUACAAAAAUAAAUAAUUCAUUUGUUAUACAUUGGGUCUCAGAUUUCAAUUUGCGUCGGAAUCCAAAUGUGUGCUUUGGUCGAUCAGAACAGGUUCCAGACCAAUCUACUGGCGCAUAUUACAUGAAAUGGAUGAUAGUUUAUUUUUUUUGACAGCAUCAGUAGCUCUCAAUUCAUCCAAAGGAUCAUCAAAAAUGGUUAUCUUAUUCAUCAAUAGUUACACAUUGAAGAUAUUAGUAGUUGGUCUGCUUAAAUGGUUCUUUAGAAUGUUGACCCUCUAAAAAUAGGAGAGUACUAAUAUAUGUCAGGGAUACAGAGUGAGGUCCAUAUAAAGUACUCUGAGAUUGAGCAAGCAUGUGGAUUUAAAAGGUCAGCUUUUUCUCUAAUCUUCUUUGAAUCCUAUGGCAAGAUUUUUACAAAAUAUUUCCAAAAAUUAUAAGGUAUAUUGAGGAAAAAUUAGCAACUAAUAGAUAUUAUUGCACCAUGGUCAUGUAUAUAGUUUAGCCAAUACAUAUAUUCACAGGCUUGGGUGAGUGGGUAUUGGAAGCUAAAACUAUGUCAGGAAGUAAUAUGGGUGAACAUAUGUACAUACAUAGGAUUGUGCUGAAUGCUAGAUCUACAAAAUGGUCUUCUUCCUGCUGCGUCGUGGAAGUACCCAAUCUGAUUUUGCUAUCCAAUGAUAAUUUAGAAAAUUCAGGAGCCAAUGCUUUAUCAGGUUGGUAUCUAUUUGUCAAAGACUGUAUUUGCACGGCCAGUACUAUGUUGCCCCUCAUGCUUUUGCCUUCUUGAUAUAUGCAUUUUGUAUAUUCAGUUGAUUAAUAUUGUUCUUGAUUUUUUCUUUUAACCAGGAUUCACUCAACUGAAAGCACCAAGCUUCCUGCUCUUCUUGCGUUGGGAUUUUUUAUGCCAAAAUGCUUAAGACAGCUGAGUCUGAAGUGCAAGUUUUUCCAUUAGUCUUUUCUCAAACCUUUUGUCAUCUUCUGUUCUGUCUGUAUAAAUACAUGGAGCUGUUUCAUGUGUAACGCUUCAGCUUGAGCAUGUCGAUUUGGCCCAGUAGUUGUGUCAACUAUUGAAUUUAUCUGUCAGCAUGAACAUGGUACGGCUGUUUUAUCUAUAUUUUCUACUCCA